rnacentral:rRNA from 1 species
UACGUAGGUGGCAAGCGUUAUCCGGAUUUACUGGGUGUAAAGGGCGAGUAGGCGGGAUUGCAAGUCAGAUGUGAAAACUAUGGGCUCAACCCAUAGACUGCAUUUGAAACUGUAGUUCUUGAGUGAUGGAGAGGCAGGCGGAAUUCCCGGUGUAGCGGUGGAAUGCGUAGAUAUCGGGAGGAACACCAGUGGCGAAGGCGGCCUGCUGGACAUUAACUGACGCUGAGACGCGAAAGCGUGGGGAGCAAACAGG